AAACACAUAAACAGACACACACGCACAACCGUAUAAACAUAUACACACUCACACCCACCCACCCACACAUAUUACGCACACAAAGACACAUACACACAAACACUCUCAAAGACACAAAGAAACACACACACACUCAAACAAACACAACAAAAAUACACAUACAUAAACCCCCCAUUUUCACACACAUAAGCACAUAGAUACACGCACACAUACACCUUAACACAUAUAUUACAUACACAAACACACAUAUUACACUACAAACACACACACACACACACAAACACAGACACAAACACACGUAAUUAUACAAAAACAGACACAGACAGACUCUCACACACACAUAUUAUCAAACAAACACACACAUACACACUCUCACACAAACAUGCACAGACAACACACAAAUACACAUUCAGACACACACACACACACCUACAGAAACACAUAUAUUACACACACGCACACACCCACACACAUACAAACUUAUAUCCCCACACAUACCACCAACAUAAACACAUAAACACACACGCACGCACACACAUGACACACACAAUCACAUAAACACACACACACACAGACACUCAUACAUACACAAACACGCACACACACAGACUCUCUAACACACACACACAAAAACACAUACACAAACACACGUAAGUGUAUGAACCCAAACACAGACACACCUACACACACAUAUUACCCACACAAAUACAUGUGUUUAAUACAUGUGUUUAUGUGUUUAAUAAAUCACAUACACAAACAUAUACACACACACUCUCUCUUUUUCUCUUUUUCUCUCUCUCAAACAUUAAAACAUACAAUCUCACACAAACACACACACGCACACACACACACACACACACACACUCACACAUACAAAUACAGAAACAAACACAAACAAACACAAAUAAAAAUACACACACUAACUCGCGCCCAAAGAAACACACACAAACCGACACACACACAUGGACACCCACAAACGCAAAAACACACAAACACU
rnacentral:lncRNA from 1 species